UCUUCACACAAAAUUGACGAAAUCGUGCUGACUUGAGGAUCAUUUUUCUUUUAUUUAAUAACACAAAUAUAAUUAUUUAAAAAUAUUUUACGUAAGCAGAUAUGUCCAACUCAAAAAGGUAGAAAAAAAAUCUAUCAAAAUGUUACAAAUAGGCUGAAAACAAAAGUAAAAUCGAAUCUUAUUUUUACACAUUAUUAGCCGUAACGAAAGAUACUUAUUGGAUUGAAAUAAGGGUUAUUUUCCUGGUCACUAGACUUGAUUUAUUGCACAAAAAUUUGUAAUGAAAUUUUAGUUUGCGCUCGGGCGCCGUCGUGAGUGGACACUGUGUCGCUUGUAAGCAGCUCCUCGUUUACGAAAAUAUCGCUGUACGAACACAAAAUAUUUGCCCUACCAAACUUGAUACUUCACGCAUUCUGCACCGACUACAGACAACCAAGAUGCCAAAGCCUAAGACGUUCGGGAAAAGCUCGCGGAAGAAAGUUUACGCCUGUAGACGUAACUUAGAAAAAAGAUUUCGGGGAAAAGACUUGUGUCUUUGCUAUUUGGACGGGCCCUGGAAAAAUUAAAUAUGAAUUUAUAGCCAAGGACGAUCAAUUCUGGAAGGAGAAUAUGGAAACACACUUAAUUCGAUUCUAUAAGAACUGUCUCCUUCCCGAAUUGAUCGAUCCAAGAUUCAAAAGAAACAUGGAACUACGGGAACAUUCAUCCCAUUGUCAUAAUAAUAUAUUGAAAAAUAAAAAUUUAUAAAAAAAAAGUUUCUUGUUUUUCUCUACCCUAUUCCACACUACCCUACUCCUCAAACAAAGCCUAAACACUUGGUUUGGAUUGG